rnacentral:lncRNA from 1 species
UUCCAUGUACUUCUUGUUCCCAUGACAACAUUAUAAUUAGGCUACGAAAACAAAGCAAGUCUCCUUGACUUCGUUCAUACAAAACACUAAAACCCGAGCUAAAACCACAACAUACGCACAUUAAAAGCUUACAGAGAAGACAUUGGACGUUGAUUAAGAUACAACUGUCAUAAUUUAAAGAUCUUCUGUGGUAAAUAUGAAAUCUAUCGAACGGAACGAGGAGACAUCCACAGCAAAAGCACAUUUUUAUGAAGAACCCUUCGAAUUUCCUGCUAGCAACUUCAAGGUAACCACACUUUAACUGAACAGCGUUGAUUUAGCGUUUUCCUGUCUUAGUUUGCCAGUAACGUUCCGUUCAUCAAAUAGAACUGAUGUAACAUGUAAGGGGGAGGAAUUGAUGGCCCCUCUUUGUCAUAAUUUAUAUUGAUGGGGGUUUUCAACUAAGAUAAAUUGCAACUUUUGUCUUUCAACAGAACAUUUUAGAAAUUAUGCCUCAGUCCAACGAGAAAAACAGCUGCCCGAGAGUUGAUGAGAGUUGACUGGAUAUCACUACAUGCAUAGUGAUAAUUCGUAUAUCAACUCUCAUAAUUUGAACCAGUUUUAACACGAACGAGAGUUGCAACUACAGUAUCAUCAACUCUUAUCAACUCUCAUCCUCGUUUGACCGAGGCUUUACCUACAUAGUAACCAGACUGCCAUGCCAAGAGGGUUAAAAAUAGUCGGUGCAGAUAGAGUUGCCUGCAAAUUGUUUCUGCAGUAUUAGGCACAGUGGCAUGGUUUGACUAGCCUGCGUGGCUGGCCCUCAAUUUUAUGGGGGCCUGAUUUGCAGUGGGUAGGAUUUUGGCGGGCUCCGGGGGAGGAUUGAGGGCCUGCAGGAAAGCCCACCUUUCAUGACUACACGCCGUUCAGAUUCUGAACGGUGAAUAUGAUCACCUGAUUGGUCAAUACCAAGACAGUGAAAAACCGUAGUAUUUGUUGUUUUCAAUAUUGUUGCUUAUCAACUUUCUAAUCUUGAUACUUAUCAACUUCUAAUCUUGAACUGUUGAACAUCGUGGCUAUUGUUUUCUUGUUCAGCAGCGAUACAAAGAUGAUCUCACUGGCCAGUAGUCAGGAAAUAGCACAGGAUACUGCAAACAAUUAACGUGCAUGGGUGUAAAUACUGAUUCUGAUGAUGUACUAUAUAAAAGUAAGCUCAACAUCGACAAUUUGAAAACAUGUGAAGAGUGUUUGUCUCUGGGUAGUCCAGCCACAAACAACAAGAUUUCUAAUUAUUUGGACUGUCUUUUCGUUUGUAGGGUUUCGCGUCACAAUAUUCCCUGCAUUCGGAUGACCUAAAAGCACUUUUAAUGAUUUAAGUGACGAACGCCCUUCACACGUUUUCAAACCGUCGAUGUUGAGCUUACUUAGUUAUACAUCAUCAGAAUCAGUAUUUACAUCCACGUUGUCUGCAGUACCUGUGCUAUUUCUUAAUGACUGCAUGGCCAGUGAGAUCAUGUAUCGCUGCUGAACAAGCAUUUUUUACGCGCAGAUUUCGAUUCAGUUCUAGACAUACUACCCGGAGAACAUCGCGGAGAACAAACACAAUCGAUUUGAUUCAGUUUGGUUGAAUGGACUAGCGCCACGGUCAGCGGGUCAGGAG